rnacentral:lncRNA from 1 species
AUUAAAUUCAUAAUAAAUUUUAAAAAUGUGAUACAAAAUGAAUUUUUUAUGGUUUGUAAGAUUUAAGGUGCCUUUUCCCUUGUAAUAGAAGCUAUGUUUUUGCACAGAGAAGUAUGGUAUUUUAUGAGAAGACAUGCUAUGAAUGAUGAAAGGCUCUAUUUCAGCAAGUCACAGGCAGAAAAGUCCAAAACAAUGGAAUAGAACUGCAGCAUUGUUGAAAAAAAAAGUCCAGUGGAAUGAGCUGUCUCUUCAGGAAUAAAUCAGAAGAGAAAAGGUACAACUUAGGAGCAAAACAAGUCCUGGAUUUAAAACCAUGGCAAGCAGACUCCUCCACCGGGU